CCGAACCGAACCAAACCAAUCUUAUUGCAUCCAUGAUACACACUGCAAACAUGGUUCUCUCUCACUGAAGUCAGCCAAAGAUAGAAAAAUGUUGGCAUUGCAGUGACAGGGCAAAGCCAGGGCUGGAGUGGACUGCACUGGAAUAAUAUGGAAUAAAAUGGAAUAAUAUGGACCUUCCUAUGGUAGAACUCCAAGACAAUGAGUAAAUGUGGUUGUUUAAAUCAAGGGUACCCAACAGCAGUACUGGAGGGCCAGUAUGCAGCAUAGUCUGGUCAUUUUUACACAUAAUCCAGCGCACCUGUUGAUCACCAUGAUUAGUGGGUGUGUUUAAGAGAGGAAGCUGCCCAAUUGUUCUGGUUGUGCAUGCUUGUUUAAAUGAUAACUAUCCUGUACAGUUCCUCUCCUCCCAUCUCCACUAAAUACUCUGCAGUCAACUGACACCAGCAGUGCUAAACAGGAAACCCACAAUGAGGCCUUUCAGCAGUGUCUGAAAUGGGGAGAUCACGAGCCGUUCUUACUGCCCUAGUGUGAAGGUUUCUUUGUUCGUUUAAAGGUUGGACUGAUAUGUGGCCGGUGAAUUUGUCUCCAGGGUCUCUGGAGCAGAAGUGGAAAUGAGUCAAACUAGGAGACAAUGCCACUCUCUGAGCAUACCUGGAAUACCUGGAGUAGAUUUAGUACAGUUUGGUAAAGAAACUGCCUCCUCUUAUUAUAUCAGGUGAUGUUUUGAUGAGUGAUGCUGUUCCACGUUACUCUUCAACAACACUCAUGCUGGUGAAGAACAUCGCUAUAACAGACUUGUGCCUGCACUAAGGCACUGCUACACAAGAAAAAGAUUUCUGGAAAAUUGGAGAUGGUUUCAUGUGGAUAUUUAUUAUUAUGGACACAACUCUCUUUAUUUGAACUGUUCCAUGUGCUGAUCUCCCCCAAAUCACUCCAGUGUGUGUCCAGUGGCUGAGCGUCGAAUGUGGGACAGAGAAGCCGGUCUGGCUGAACCAGCGGGCUAAGUAGCUGAUGAGGCUCACCUGUGCCUUGUUUCUGCCAGAGGCAUCUCUUCCUUCAGUAGGUGGCAGAGCCCCGAGAGAGAAGGAGACUGUGAAGGCGAACCAAACCGAGCCAAGCCAAGCCGACUGAGCCAAGCCGAGCCGACUGAGCCAAGCUGAAGAGAGAGGGGACUGAAAAGUCCCCCGUGAUCCGUACCUUAUUUAGGCUGAAAAGCCAAGCGUUUAUUUUCUUGACAAUUAAAGAAAGCUCUCCACCUUCA